rnacentral:rRNA from 1 species
UACGAAGGGUGCAAGCGUUACUCGGAAUUACUGGGCGUAAAGCGCGCGUAGGCGGUUUGUUAAGUCUGAUGUGAAAGCCCUGGGCUCAACCUGGGAAUUGCAUUGGAUACUGGCAGGCUAGAGUGCGGUAGAGGGUAGUGGAAUUCCCGGUGUAGCAGUGAAAUGCGUAGAGAUCGGGAGGAACACCAGUGGCGAAGGCGACUACCUGGACCAGCACUGACACUGAGGCACGAAAGCGUGGGGAGCAAACAGG